rnacentral:lncRNA from 1 species
UCGGAUCUCCGAAUAGACUGAAGGCAGCAACCCCAAAGCUAAGGUCUGAAAGCUGCUGCACCAGGAUCUGCACACAGUGCAGAGUAUAGUAUCAGCACAACCAACCCCAUGUGCUGGUAAGUGCCCAGCCUAACCUCGACGAAGUAGUGACGAGGCUAGGACCAGACUACCAAAUAAACCUGUGCAGUUAAAUCAUAUAUAACGAAAAAUAAAAUCAGGAAUGAACAGUUAAGGAUAGGAGUAUCAAACCUCCUUUUUCCUACUCCCGGAAGGGAUUAUAGGGGAAUUUUUCCAAUUAAAGUAAAAAUCGAAACGAGAUUAUUUAUUUAUUUAAAAAUCGAAACGAGAUUAUUUAUUAGCGUUUCCACUAGAGAUAAUUUAUGGUGUCUCAAGUCACUAGUUUAGUAUCCUGAAUCGAGGAAAUUUGACUCUUAUUUAUGGUCUGCGAACAUAGAAAUCUGGGUAAGGAAUUCUGUUAACCCGGGAGAAGGUGUUAGGCAUUCCCGAGUUCCGUGGUUCUAGGACGGUCUCUCAAAUAUUAUUAUUGGGUCAAUUAUCUGAUUUAAUUACACAUUUAAAAUCUACUUGCCCUUCUUAACCUUUUAGCCGCUUUUAAUAUUUCAGGAAAAUUCAAAGUUAUUUAAAAUACACUGUAAGCCACGCUACAUGAAAUGCACGCGCGGUUCACGACACGUUCUAUUAACCUUGUUGGAAAUUAGAAUCGGGUCACAUGAAAUGUACACCCGGAUUUUAGAAAUUAAGCACCACAACUACGUCACGGGAACCGUACCCAUAGCUAUGAAAAUUUAAUAUAGCAUGCCUAAAGCAAGCUACGAAUAUGAGAGUUGUUUAUUCACUUCAAUUUGAGAUUUUUUGUGAAACUCAUCGCUCAUUAACCAAAUAUUACAGAAUGGACUAAAAUAGAUGUUGAAACUAUUGUAUAAAACAGAGCAGGAGAUCGACGCCUAAACCAAACAGAAUUAGGCCAAUUUUCCAAACUUCCGGGCUAAAUUAACUGAUUCAAUUACUUGUAUUGGAUCAUUAUAUUAACAUGCUACUAUAAAAAUUAACAACAUAAGCAUAUUAACAACAAAAUUAACAACACAAACAUAUUAAUAACAAAAAUUAACAACAUAAGCAUAUUAACAACAAAAAUCAAAAUACAUGGCAUGACUAUUAAAAAUAAACUUACAAGAGAAAUCAAACAAAUAACUCAAAUAUUCAAGACAACAAUUCUGGAAAUAGGAAGAGGAAUGAAGUUUAAAGUGUGACUUCUAAUGAACAUGACCUUGACUAUUUUGGACAUAGACAGUGCACAUAACCAUGACCGGAGAACACUCGUCGGCGACUUCAACAGGAAAUUCGAACUUCAGUCAAGCUCUACCCUACGUUCUCGCCUCAGUUUCUGUUUGAACCCCCAUUUUGUUUGUUCUUUUUAGCUGCUGGUGGUUGACGUUUGGUGGUGUGAAGUGAAGAAAAAAAACAGCGGUUGCUGUGUGUGUGGGGUGUGGUGUGAGGAGGAAGUCGUCACCGGCGAGUUGAAGAAGAAGAAGGGGUCAGUGGCGUAACUUAUCGAGCCUUGUUGAUCUGUUUUGGAGAGAUGAAAAAGAACAAGUAUGGGUAUGGCGUUUGCAGUGGUGAAGGAAAUGAAGGGGUCUGGUUCGUUGGGUGAGGGUGUGGUUGUUGCAACUCAUUUUUCCGGCGAGCUGGGAUUGGAGUUGGGAAGGCUAUGGUCGUGGGUUGCUCUGCAUGGAGAUGGGACGACAUUGAGGGCUGGUGGGGCUGUCCGGCGUGAGGGGUCGCUGGUUUCAGGGGUGGUCGGCGGGUUUGAGUGUAGAAAUCCUAGGGUUUUGCUUGUUCUCUAGGGUUUUUGGUUGUCUUUCAGGUGUGAAGAAGAAGGCUUAGGUUUUGGUAAGUUUUCUCAAUCAAAAAAACAGCUGUGGCUAACCUCGAUCUAGGUUUUUUUUUUAAUUCUUCUUGUAUAUUAUGCUAGUCUAGGUUUGGGCUUUUGAGUUAAUGGGCUAAGAGAUU